AGGUCUGAGAAGUGGCCAUGUUGUUUUUCUACAAAGAAGAAGACUCCCUGAAGUUCACAAUAUUUGCACUGUAGGCAGUCUAAAUAUGAAGCAAGCCAUCGGUGGCAUAUUUCUAAUGUUUGCUAAUGCUGUACGCUUUUAAAAUUAUGUCCACCAAACACUUUGAACGGUGCCUAUUUAAUGUAUGCAAUCUCAUCUGCAUCAUUUUAUCACCCAUUCUUAGACAAGUUCCUGCUGGCAGUAAUGCAGUUCUCUCAAACACAUAGUUGGUCCUAAAUAUAAAAAAAUCAGUCAUUUGAACAGUAACAAUGCAAUGCGAAUGGUCGAAACUUUGCAGUUAACAUAUGAUGUUCAAAAGAAUUCUCAUAGUAUUCAGUUCAAAAAAAUUGUCAUAAUAACUAUUCAGCUAACAAGAGCAUAUAAUGGACCAUCUAUUCUAAUAGCACAAUAGAAGAUAAACCAUAGUGCUAAUGCAGUACGAAAGUACAUAUUAUGCAGUCUUCUAAAACAUAGAAUGCAGUUUAAGAAAAGAGAAAUCUCAUAAGCUGCCAUGACCACUGUAAUACAGCUAAAACGAAAUACACUGCUAACGAAAAUGCAGUGCACUACAGUGUAUGCCAGAACAACAACAAUAAAAUUAAAGCAGUAGAAAUACAGAUAUGUCGUAGACUAACAGAGGUGCCAAUUCAAUCGCACUUACAUAACUCGCCUAACAAAUGUCCAACAACUAAACCAUCGAAAAAUACCCCGCAAAAAACUACACCGAACACACGGCAAACUGGACGAACAGCAUCAGCUUUUAUUUAAAAAUUUCAAAUCAAAGAAUGAGAAUUAUACCCGCAAUACAAUGAAUUAAAACCAACAGCGAAGUAAUUACAAGAUUCAAAAACACAUCGAGGCGCAAAAUCCAGAAAAUCAACAAGAACAGAGGAGCGGACGAAGCUCACCCGCCCACACAACCAAAUUCGCGGGAACUGAAAACUAACUCCUAAAAAUUACACAAUUUCUAGAGUAAAAGGUGCGAUUAAACGAACGAUAUCAAACAAUUCCGACUAACAAACAACAUCCGAGCGCCAAAGAGUCGAUUCCGACACGAACACGAACGAACAGAGAAAAACUCGCCCGCCAAUCCCUCGAUUUACCAAGAUUUUAGUCGUUUUUUCUGUAAAUUACAAAGAAUAAAGGUCAACUGACAUCCAUAAACAAAUUAAAUCAUCCCGCAACACCCGAUUCCACACAGAAUACGCGGGCGGACCGCCAGAAAAUGAAGCAGUUCUUCCGUGUAGCAUCGCAGUGCGCGAUGUAAAGAAGAUGUAGUGCGCUUCUGUUGAGCAUGCAGUGCGGAAGUGUUAUCAGAAUAGUUAUUCUGAUAAUAUUAUCAGAAUAGUUAUUCUGAUAAUAGUUAUUUUGAUAAUAUAGAAUAACUAUUUGGAUCACGAUCGGCCCUAUACAGGCUUCGACGGAUGUUCCCGAACACACAUAGAAAAAAAAGAGCCCACCCACGACACCCCACGACCACGUCCUGCUCGUCCUCCCACCUUCCCCGAUCCCCAACCACCCUGGAUCCCAUCGUCGGCGACCUCCGCCGCCGCACGCCUGGCUUCUACUCCUUCCACUCCUUGCCCGUGUCCAGCGCCCGCCGCCGGCCCUCCCAUGGCGCCACUACCGCGGCCACCCUCUUCUCCUCCCGCCCCAUCGCGUGACGCCGCCCUGGCCACUCCUCGUCGUCUCAACGAGUAGCCAUCGUUCCCCAGGACGGUUCCGACAUCCGGCGCCAUCGCCGUCCGUGGAUCCCGGCGCCAUCGCCGGCCGUGGAUCCUCGCCGCCGCCGCAAGCUCUGAUCCCGCCGGCCGCCGCCGGGAUCCCCGACUGAAGAUGAGCAACCCCGCUGCCCCCCUCACGGAGCCUCCUCCCUGUGGGGACCCACCGCCGCGGCGCUCAAACCAUUCGUAACCGCCACCUCCGGCCGUUCAACCACGGAACUCUCAGAAGUUCACCGCUUCAGUCGCACGCCCUUGCUGAUUUCCCCUCUAUCUCUUGUUGCUACAGGUAGCAGCAGGUGCAUCUCUAUCAACACAACUCUGUUCUUAUUGAAGUUCAGUUUGUUAAUUUUCUGAAGAAAAAGGUUGCUUCACUUGCACUCCUCUAUCUAGUCCUGUGUGGUGCUCUCCUCGACUCCUAGGUUAGGCACAAACUGAGAAUUGUAGGCAUCUUUUGAGUUUAAAAUGCUUGAAUCUACAGUACAGGAUUAGAUAACUUCCAGAAGAUCUGUAGUUCAUACCCCGCUGUGACAGCAGCGAGCGGUCGUAGGUCGCCUGGCCUGCUCUUGGCUUGUUCUGUUGAGAAAAGUUCAGAAAACUAACCGAACUCUUGGCAUUGUCUGGCGGUGUUUGGCUGCAUCGGCCACCAGACUGCCAACGGCAAGGAUCCAAGGUGGUGAGCUGUCGACGCUGGCACAACAACCCGACGCAAGCCGAGUCAAUUGUAGUCAACGCAAGGAGAGAUUAGUAUAGUGGUUUCUAGUGUUCAAAUCCAUACAUGGCGUUUUCUGGUGGAAUUGGUCAACAUGAAGGAGCUACGGGUUAAUACUACAAGCGCUUCACUUAAAUAGUCCUAGUUGUUUACCAACUUUUAGUCAUUCGCUUUUGCAAGAAGUGCUCAUCUUUUUCCUAUUGCAUGACUAGCUUUCGAUGGUGAUGGCUCUGAUUUUUUUGGGAGAUGUAUGAGAACAAAGGCCGGCUUCGCCAGAUUCUUCAGUUCAGCUCUAAAAAAAGGAGCAUUAUAUGUUGUUGUCCAGUUUGCUCACUUGUUGGAAUGAAAAAAAAUGGCUAAAGGUCAAUAGAAAUUGUUCCUGAAGGUCAAUAGAAAGUGUUCGAGAAGGUCUAUAGUUGUAGGCGUCUCCUAGGUUCAUCCCACUAAAUCAUUCCAUGCUUGCUCCUUAUAUCUCCUGGAUGAAGAAGUACAACUACAGUACGGGAUUCAAAUCAGCACCGGGCGUCAAAAGAACAAUGGAGAUGUUGUGGUGGCGUUUGUGGAUGCGAUGGUUAUGUGUGUGUGUGUGUUCUUUGUGUGUGUCUUCAUGGAAAUGGGUUAAAAAAAUUCAUGUUUUGUGUAUAAAAAGGAGGAGGUUCAAAAAUAA